rnacentral:tRNA from 1 species
GGAGCAGUUGGUAGCUCGGUGGUAGAGCGCAUGCUUUGUGUGUAUGAUGACCUGGGUUCAAAUCCGAGCUGCUCCC